CAGAUGGUGCAUUCACGGUUGAAACCGGCCUGCUUGUGGGCCUUGAGGACAUCUUCAGAACGACGCAGAACGGACGAGGACGCCUGUACCUUUUCAUGACGUCCUCACGACAUCCUCAGAACGACACAGAACGGACGAGGACGUUUGUAUCUUUUGAGGACAUACUCAGGAUGUCGCGUGUUGUCUGGGUGACAAAUGUGAGCUCAAGCAAAAUUAGGAACAAGGUACACUGUCUGCAGAUUCAUCAGCCGGUGGAACUGCCUAAGCCAGCUCCCUGAAUCAUGAAGUGACCAAUGUGUGAUAUUAUAUUCACAAAGCAAAUCUCUACAAGGUGCCUUAGGGACAUUUUGCUUAUGUAGCUGUGUUAUUGAUUUGAUUUAUUAAAAACUGUUUGAAACCUUUG